rnacentral:rRNA from 1 species
CGCCAACACUGGGACUGAGACACUGCCCAGACUCUUACGGGAGGCUGCAGUCGAGAAUCAUUCGCAAUGGGGGCAACCCUGACGAUGCGACGCUGUGUGAGUGAAGAAGGCCCUCGGGUUGUAAAACUCUUUCGCUUGGGAAUAAGAAAAGGUGGAGAAUAUCUAUCUAAUUUGAAGGUACCAGGUAAAGAAGCACCGGC